GAUAUAACACUGUCGUGCAGGUGAGAAGCUGCGUUCAGGUUCGAGUCGAGCGAAGCGAGACAACAGCGCAUAGCGCUGGCCCGAAGGGCGAGGCCGCAGGCCGAGUCAUCCUGCACGACCCACCA
rnacentral:sRNA from 1 species